CAAUAUUGUAUUUACCUAUAAACUUCAUGCAUUUACCAAAACAGGAAGUUCAUAGUUCUUUGGAGUUUCAUUGCCGGUUAUAUAUAAAACUACAUGUGAAAUGCAAAGACUGAAUUACAGACCUUUGUCAUUUUGAACGUCAAUGUUCGGUACAAGCUAGUGGAAGAUAAAUUUCUCAACAAAUCUUUGGCGACUCUCAUGAAUUUCUAAUUGAGUUUCUUUUGGUGCAUUUUGAAUCGAGCGAUAAUAAUGAUCUUUUUCUUAAUAACCAAGUAAAAUAUACCAUCAUCAUCAAAUCAAUUCUUUUAAGUUGAUCAAGCAUGGAUUAUAAGCAUGACUAAUAGAAAAUACAUUAUAUCCUUGCACAUAAGCAUCAUCCUCAGAUUUUUAAAAAAUAUUCAGCAAUAUAUACAAAUUCCAAGGUUUUAGAACUCCGCUCAAGCUCCGGACUCCACCCUUGCUCUAGCUGAGGAAUUCGGACAUGUCAGAGUGGACUUGCCCAUGUUUAGCCUAGCGUAACAAAUGGCCAAAAAAGAAAAGUACAAAAAGCGCAAAAAUAAGGAAAAAAAAAAUUAAAGUUAAUUACAUCAAACAAAAAGAAUUUUGAUGUCAUUGGCUUAUAAGAAAAAUGAACAAUUAGGAAAAACACGAAUAAUUAAAUAAAAAAAUAAAAAAUAAAAAAUAAGAUCUAUAAAUUGCUUUUUUUCUAAUUUUCGUUAAGGAACUAGCCUAUGGAUGGAUCAGGAACGCAAAUAUGGUCCUAAGCCUCAAUUUUCAUCGAAGAUAGGCAAUUGGAAUUGAAGAAAUCGAAGCUUUCCAAAAUAGAGUAAAUAAAUCCCCAAUUUUUCAAUCUUCCUCAUGCGAGAAAUAUAUGCAUCUAGUUUGUAGGUGUAAUAAGUUUGUAGGUAAAUGUGAAAUAUUGGCUCAAAAGGGCCUACGACGAAGUUUUGUGAAGAUGGGGGCCGGAUUUCCAUCCCUUCUAUUUUCAAUCACAAUUUACAAUACUCGAGCAAGUAUUGCACGAACUCACCCAAGAACUGUCAUGCCCGAGUUUUAUGUUAGGUUUGGUGAUAGCCAAAAUCACCACUCCUAUAUUUUCCUAAAAGAAGUAAGGGGUAUAAUGUUAAUUGGGUAAAAGGAAAAGGGACUUUCUUUUGAGCACUACAUAUUUUGUCACUUUUGGGACGUGUUUUUUUGGUGGAAGCCGCAGCUUCCACAAACUAUAGCACUCAUUCAUAAGGGUAGCAAUGGACCCAAACCCGACAAUCGGACCCGAUCAGGGUCCAGUUAUGGGUCCAAAAAUUGGACCUCGCAGAUCA
rnacentral:lncRNA from 1 species